GUAGCUUAAGUUAAAUAUAUGGAUGCUGACAGGUGGGGAAGCAGUACAGGACCUUCGUUGUAGGCAGCAUAAUUUAAUGCUGUAUUGAUAGUUACCAGCCUAUCAUUCUAAUUCCAGGUCUGGUUUUCUUUACGACCCCGUAGCUAGCCGGAGGGUGCGAGAUCUCACUUAGGGGAUCUCGCGAGAAUGUUAAUGUAGAAGCUACGUGCAGUGUUUUCCUGUACUGUGCAUUUAUGAGAAGCCCUGUUAAACGUCCCUCCCGAUGUGUUUUAAUUGCAGGUGAGAACGUAAUUUAGUAUAGCGAAGGCAUACUGAGGUGUUUUGGGGAUGGGGAUAUUGUUAUAAUGUGUCAUACCGCAUUUGUGGCUGCGAUUUGAAAUAUGUGUUCGGGAUAAUGACGGACGCACGGGGACUCGCAGACCAAAUUGUAAACAAAGAAAACGUAAUUUGUGACAUGUUCUUUGAGUAAGAGGGUAUAACGAUGAUUUAUUAGUUAAUACUGCUUGAAAUUCUGUAACAAUAGUCUAGUAGAGAGUUUGUAUUUCACUUUAUGCUUUUGUUUCUGCGUGUUAAAAGUGAAAGUAAAGUGCAUGGACAACGAGAUCUCACUUAGGGGAUCUCGCGAGAAUGUUAAUGUAGAAGCUACGUGCAGUGUUUUCCUGUACUGUGCAUUUAUGAGAAGCCCUGUUAAACGUCCCUCCCGAUGUGUUUUAAUUGCAGGAGGACAAAAUAAAGAGCCAUUGAACUGACCAGCAAGCUUGGGAGUAUCGUGUUAAACCAAGCUACACACUUUCACACAACGCAGAGCAUCUGAAUGGGUGGAGCCAGGCCCAGGAGUACUGCAUGAUAGACAGUCUGUAAAGUAGCCACCACCCUGACUUGACAGUAGUUUAUAUUUAAAGGGGAAUUUUAAAGUAGAAUAGCCCGUUUGCUAUACCUUGUUUAGCCAGUAGGUUAAUAUAUAUAUAUAUAACUCAGCCAGCUAUAUAAUCGACUCUAAGUAAGGCUUACGUAUUAGUGAACCCUGUUUACUGAUAUAGCCACGUUAAUGAGUAGGGGUUACACUAUCAACAUACAUCUCCCCACAAUAGCUCAACAUGACCAUGACAUGUAUCAACAGUAUUACACAACAGUAUAGAAUCAGAAUUACUGCAGCAAUGUGUCACGGCUGACCCCGAACCAGUUAUUAUGUGUAGUAAGAAAUUGGAUUCCUUUGCAUGGAGAAUUUCAGUGGCUAGAGUUCAGGGCUCCUCGAUUGAUUCAGAUUCAGUUGUAUUAAGUCUGCCCACUAAUAAUGUAGAGCAAAAUAGGUAUUGUGGUGUUUGCAGAGCCGACCCGAGCUGAACCCAAGACAGAAGUGGAGUCCUGCUGGGAACGAGCUGAAACAUUGGACAUGGACUGGAUGAUUUAAAAAUGAAAUGUAUUAAUGAGAUGAUAUGUGCUGUAACCAUUUGUAAUGUUUGAAUAAUCUUUAGUCUGUAACAAAUACUGUAAAGUGCUCUCUCUGUAAGACCGAAAAACAGAAUCUGGUACAACUUGAUACACUGGCCGGCCUUGAGCAGUCUCUUAUUAAAAUUGGCACGAUUCCCAGAAUUUAGUGCUGAAAUCUCUGUUAAGACUUUUCAGCUUGAAUACAGAAUAAUGCUGUACUAAUAGAUGUAUGUUAAUAUGUUUGCUUUAAAUGGUAUAGAUUGCUGUGGUAACAUAUAAUCAUAGGUAGUGAUAAUUAUUGUUAGUAUGAAAUACUAUGAACAAUUUUUAUGUAUAAGAUCAUAUGAUUCACUUUGCUUAAUAUGAUAGCAUACCUGAAGCUGUUUUCUAUCAAGAUGAGCAUAGUUAAAAACGGAGUCCUAAUUCAAUGAAAAGAAUUACUGUGUGCUUACAUUCAAGAAUUAUAACUUCUGAAUAUAAAGGGAAAAGGAGUUAGGAGUAUUCUUAAGGGAAAGAGAAAAACAGAAAAGGAUUAAAAGACCUCGCUUUGAGUAGGUUUCUGCUUGUAAUUCAGUUUUAAAAUAAGUAGGUGAGUAAGAACAACCUAGAGUAAAAGCAGACUCUAACUUAAGAAAAUAAGCAUUGUCAGAAGAUACACCACAACUAGAGAGCAGAAAAAUUGAAUAAAAUCCUAUUGUAAUAUUGCGGAUAUACUGCUGCUAGCAGAAAGUAAUAAGGUUAGCAGCCAUACGCUAUAAGAAGUAAUGUACUAGUUUGACUCUGAAGUUAAAAGACGCAGCAUAAAAAGAUGUUGUGUUUAAAAUGCAAAAUAAAAGGAUUGAAUAAAUAAUGAAGAAUAAAAGCAGGAGAUAGGUUUUAGGAGAGUAAACUCUAUGUGACCUGUCUUCUUGAACUCUCUAUCAGCCUGCCCUUGGAGAAAUUAAUAUUAGCUGCUGGAAGGCCUCUUUGGUGGGAAGAAGCCGGAAUUUUUUUAUCAGAAGGCUUAUAGUAUCGGGCCGGACUGCAAAAAUAGGGAGUUAGAACGGAUGGUCUUAGCACUUAAGAUAGUUAGUUGUCGGGCGGAACAAGCACGUAAGAUACAGGUGUAAGGAAAGUUCUAGGGAACAUUAAUCACUAUUAAACUUGGCAAGAAAAGAGGUGUCUCCAGCAAGCUGGUUUUAGCCAGUAUGUGUAUAGCUGAAAAAUACAGGGUCAUCUGGAUGUCAAUUAAGUUCAAGCUACCAGGGGCCCAUAGGAGAAAACAUUACAGCUUUACAGCUCAGUAAAAUAGUUAGGUUUUCCAUAAGGAGAAAACUCUACAUUAAAAAGAUAUAAGAUGGAAGUUCCCUAUAAUACCUGCUAAACACACACCUGUAAGGAAAGAAUGAAAUUAAUUUGAGAGUGAGAUGACAUGAGGGAAUAUAUUUUUGAAAGCCAAGUUCAUGUAAUCAAUUAUAAUCAUUAUAACUAUAACUGCUAUAUUAUGAUAUAACUAUUGGUGUUGCAUAUAUUCAAAAAACACCACUUUUCUUAUAUUGGUGUUGCAUAUAUUUAAAACACCACUCCUUUUUAUAAUGCACCCAUAUUAAGUAGUGAAUCAAGGUUGCAGGGAUUUUGUGAACUCUGCUUCACCUAACUUUUCAGAUGAAGGAGGGGGGCCAAGAAUGAGUGGAUGAGAACAUGGGCUAGUGUUGAUUUAUUAAAUGUUGUUGAUUUGUUGGCAUAUGACCUUAAUUGAGUCUGAUGAGUUGGUUGAAUUCUUUAGAGAUUACUGUUUGCCAAGAGAUAAGGACUGUCAAUAUAGAUUGAUGACUGGAUCUAAUUGGGGCUUCCCAUUGCUUUCAAUGGGACGAAAAUUGUAUAAAAACCCUGGGCCGAUCACACUGAGACCACCACAAUCAAGCUUGGCAGAGCUAUGUGUGGUCCAUCCUUUGCAGAUCUCCACAGAACAGUCCUUCUCUUUUGUUCACGCUACUCUUCCUUAUAAUAGGAGAGCCGACCCGAGCUGAACCCAAGACAGAAGUGGAGUCCUGCUGGGAACGAGCUGAAACAUUGGACAUGGACUGGAUGAUUUAAAAAUGAAAUGUAUUAAUGAGAUGAUAUGUGCUGUAACCAUUUGUAAUGUUUGAAUAAUCUUUAGUCUGUAACAAAUACUGUAAAGUGCUCUCUCUGUAAGACCGAAAAACAGAAUCUGGUACAACUUGAUACACUGGCCGGCCUUGAGCAGUCUCUUAUUAAAAUUGGCACGAUUCCCAGAAUUUAGUGCUGAAAUCUCUGUUAAGACUUUUCAGCUUGAAUACAGAAUAAUGCUGUACUAAUAGAUGUAUGUUAAUAUGUUUGCUUUAAAUGGUAUAGAUUGCUGUGGUAACAUAUAAUCAUAGGUAGUGAUAAUUAUUGUUAGUAUGAAAUACUAUGAACAAUUUUUAUGUAUAAGAUCAUAUGAUUCACUUUGCUUAAUAUGAUAGCAUACCUGAAGCUGUUUUCUAUCAAGAUGAGCAUAGUUAAAAACGGAGUCCUAAUUCAAUGAAAAGAAUUACUGUGUGCUUACAUUCAAGAAUUAUAACUUCUGAAUAUAAAGGGAAAAGGAGUUAGGAGUAUUCUUAAGGGAAAGAGAAAAACAGAAAAGGAUUAAAAGACCUCGCUUUGAGUAGGUUUCUGCUUGUAAUUCAGUUUUAAAAUAAGUAGGUGAGUAAGAACAACCUAGAGUAAAAGCAGACUCUAACUUAAGAAAAUAAGCAUUGUCAGAAGAUACACCACAACUAGAGAGCAGAAAAAUUGAAUAAAAUCCUAUUGUAAUAUUGCGGAUAUACUGCUGCUAGCAGAAAGUAAUAAGGUUAGCAGCCAUACGCUAUAAGAAGUAAUGUACUAGUUUGACUCUGAAGUUAAAAGACGCAGCAUAAAAAGAUGUUGUGUUUAAAAUGCAAAAUAAAAGGAUUGAAUAAAUAAUGAAGAAUAAAAGCAGGAGAUAGGUUUUAGGAGAGUAAACUCUAUGUGACCUGUCUUCUUGAACUCUCUAUCAGCCUGCCCUUGGAGAAAUUAAUAUUAGCUGCUGGAAGGCCUCUUUGGUGGGAAGAAGCCGGAAUUUUUUUAUCAGAAGGCUUAUAGUAUCGGGCCGGACUGCAAAAAUAGGGAGUUAGAACGGAUGGUCUUAGCACUUAAGAUAGUUAGUUGUCGGGCGGAACAAGCACGUAAGAUACAGGUGUAAGGAAAGUUCUAGGGAACAUUAAUCACUAUUAAACUUGGCAAGAAAAGAGGUGUCUCCAGCAAGCUGGUUUUAGCCAGUAUGUGUAUAGCUGAAAAAUACAGGGUCAUCUGGAUGUCAAUUAAGUUCAAGCUACCAGGGGCCCAUAGGAGAAAACAUUACAGCUUUACAGCUCAGUAAAAUAGUUAGGUUUUCCAUAAGGAGAAAACUCUACAUUAAAAAGAUAUAAGAUGGAAGUUCCCUAUAAUACCUGCUAAACACACACCUGUAAGGAAAGAAUGAAAUUAAUUUGAGAGUGAGAUGACAUGAGGGAAUAUAUUUUUGAAAGCCAAGUUCAUGUAAUCAAUUAUAAUCAUUAUAACUAUAACUGCUAUAUUAUGAUAUAACUAUUGGUGUUGCAUAUAUUCAAAAAACACCACUUUUCUUAUAUUGGUGUUGCAUAUAUUUAAAACACCACUCCUUUUUAUAAUGCACCCAUAUUAAGUAGUGAAUCAAGGUUGCAGGGAUUUUGUGAACUCUGCUUCACCUAACUUUUCAGAUGAAGGAGGGGGGCCAAGAAUGAGUGGAUGAGAACAUGGGCUAGUGUUGAUUUAUUAAAUGUUGUUGAUUUGUUGGCAUAUGACCUUAAUUGAGUCUGAUGAGUUGGUUGAAUUCUUUAGAGAUUACUGUUUGCCAAGAGAUAAGGACUGUCAAUAUAGAUUGAUGACUGGAUCUAAUUGGGGCUUCCCAUUGCUUUCAAUGGGACGAAAAUUGUAUAAAAACCCUGGGCCGAUCACACUGAGACCACCACAAUCAAGCUUGGCAGAGCUAUGUGUGGUCCAUCCUUUGCAGAUCUCCACAGAACAGUCCUUCUCUUUUGUUCACGCUACUCUUCCUUAUAAUAGGAGGUAAGCAUAUUGAUGGUAUUAUUGUAUCUCACAUUUAUUGGUUGUAUUGCUAUGAGGUUUUGAAACUAUGUUUUGGUAUUGAGGGUGUUAUAUUGAAUGUGCUAAAACAUAGCAGUGGGUGCUUGUAGGCUUUGUGCUUAACCAGCCUGAGGGCUGCACUGAAUACAUAUAAUUGUAUUAUGUUAUUGAAGUAUUAAAUGCUGAAGCUUGUAAUAAACUUAGGAUUGCUAAUUAUUGUUACAUGUUUUCGGGUUUUGGUAGUAUGCGCAAACUACUAAACCAAUAUUAAAGGCAUUUUAAUAAAACGAAGGAGCGCUGAUGUUGCUCUGAUUCGUGAAACUUUGAAUAAA